GGAACAGUGUUCUGGUGAAUCGCAACAUGGCUUCUUUUCCUCAGCUUCCUGGCAGAAGCUGGAAGGGAUUUUUCUCUGAUAGUUACCGUGGGACCUUGGUUAAGCUCUUGGAGGUAAAUUUCACAAUAUCCUGGAGUUUUUAACCCUCAAACUUGUCUUCACUGUGUCUCCAGCCACACAUCAAUUACAUCACAGAUUUUCCUACCUUGGCACCGGUUCCUGCGAUGGUUCUGCUCCUGCGUUUCUGCUCUGGCUAAUCCAUGAAAAAAUGCUGUUGAUCACAACAUCCUUUGAGAUGAAAUUGAUUUCCAGAACUUCCUGGAUGCCACCCUUCCAGAGGUCUUCCCUGCAGCUCUUCUCUGGUUUCCAUGAAGUCCUCCAAAUC